rnacentral:rRNA from 1 species
AGAGUUUGAUCAUGGCUCAGAUUGAACGCUGGCGGCAUGCUUUACACAUGCAAGUCGAACGGUAACAGGCCGCAAGGUGCUGACGAGUGGCGAACGGGUGAGUAAUGCAUCGGAACGUGCCCAGUCGUGGGGGAUAACGCAGCGAAAGCUGUGCUAAUACCGCAUACGAUCUAUGGAUGAAAGCGGGGGACCGUAAGGCCUCGCGCGAUUGGAGCGGCCGAUGUCAGAUUAGGUAGUUGGUGGGGUAAAGGCCCACCAAGCCAACGAUCUGUAGCUGGUCUGAGAGGACGACCAGCCACACUGGGACUGAGACACGGCCCAGACUCCUACGGGAGGCAGCAGCGGGGAAUUUUGGACAAUGGGGGCAACCCUGAUCCAGCCAUUCCGCGUGAGUGAAGAAGGCCUUCGGGUUGUAAAGCUCUUUCGGCAGGAACGAAACGGCGAGCUCUAACAUAGCUCGCUAAUGACGGUACCUGAAGAAGAAGCACCGGCUAACUACGUGCCAGCAGCCGCGGUAAU